UACUUUAUUUAUUUAAUGAGUGGCUAACUGUUCUUCUUUAUCUCCCUCUUAUUCUUGAUUUCUUUUAUUAAUUAUUUUGUAUUUUUCCCUCUUACUUCAGAUUUGGGAAUGUCCUGAUACGUAUUCGUCUAGUUUUUAAGAACUUGAUCAAAGUACCUAGUGAGGCGGAUGUUCUCAAUGCUGCUAAUGCUCUGCUGGACUCAAAGAUCAGAAGAGCACGAGGUCUCAUUUAUAAUUUAGAUAUAUUCUUUUGAGAAAUUGACAACUCCUACAUUAGAAGCUUUGCAUUUCAAAUCAGCAAUGUGACCAUCUUCAAGGACCUUCAGCUGAGGAACGGAACACAUGAUUUAAUACAAAACACCAUCAACAGCCUGUGGCUGCUGUGCUGGUUUAAGGAGACGCUACAACAGAAGACGGUCCUACAAUGUCCAAUACACAACACGAAAUGGACUCUUUUAAAAAACAGUUAGAGUGUAAAAUAAUUUCACAAAAAUAUUAUUUGCAACUCCAUUAGACUCUAUUAAAUAGUUUAUUUUUUUAAAUCUGUUUCAUUAUGUAGUUUAUUUUUUAUUUGUUUACCUAUUUAAUUAUUUCAUCCAUUCUAUUUUAUUUAAUCUUUGUACAUAAUUAAUUUUAUUUCAACUACAUACAUAAAAAUUAAGCUACAUAUGGUCUAUUAAAGUGACUUAUUAAACAGGAUAAUGUAUAUAUUCUGUCCAAAUUAAUGUUCAGUUAUGUUGUAAUUUAACUUAUUUAUUAAAGCUAUUUAUAAUAAAGUUUGUCAAAUAUUGCUUGUUCAAUUGAGAUUAAUCCACACAAUUAAAAUCUGUAUCCUGUUUAUAUGUUUCUGUAAAGCUGCUUUGAGACAAUGUCCGUUGUAAAUAUAGAAAAUAUCUAUGAAGUGUAAACAAUAUGUGUAACUAACAUUUGGAUAUGUUAACGAAGUGUAUCAGUAUGUAACCAACAUUUAGACUUAUUACUUGAGCAUAAUCGUAUAAUCAAUAUUGGUUAAAAAAACAAUUUAUAUGUAUAAUCAAGUUAGAAGCAUAAUCUAAAUCCAUAGAACUAUGUUUGAUCAAGUUAUAUUCUGAGUGGAUUUGAGUUAAAUGAACUCUGUGUUUUAGUGUACAAUAAUUGUUCUUCUGUAUUAGCUAGCACCUGUCUCCACAGCAAUAAAUUGGCAUUAGACAUUCGCUUUUGUGGGAGAAUAACUUUGAAGCCAGGUGCCAGUUAGGGAGUUGGAAGAGGGCCUCUGGAAAGGAGGUAGUUAUCAGCGGGGACAACCGAUAGAGACAGACAGAUGCUCAUUGAGGCCUAAGAAGGGAGUCAGGGUCAGGACACACAAACCUGUGUGAAACCUUUUUGUAAAAAAGAAACCUUGUCCUCAUAAAACCUUUUCAAGAAAAACAAUUAACUGCGCAUGCACCCCAAAUUUAAGAUAACACAUAGACAUGAAUGAUUAAUUAAGGCUAUACAGAUUGGUUUGUUCCUAGAAAGAAAAGGUGAAUGCCCCACUUAGGGAUAAUUUUACUGUUUCCAAAGAGUAUAUAAAGACGUUUGUGUAUGUAUAAUUCGGACUUUCUGCAGACUGUCACACUUUAUUGAUUUUCAAUAAAGUUUAUUUACUUUUUGACAUCUACUAAACUCUCUGUG